UUGAGGAAGUAAAAGUCGUAACAAGGUUUCCGUAGGUGAACCUGCGGAAGGAUCAUUACAGAGUUCCUGCCCUCACGGGUAGAAACCCCACCCUUGUAUAUUAUAUAUUGUUGCUUUGGCGGGCCGCCCUCACGGGCACUGGCUCACGCUGGCUCGCGCCCGCCGAAGGACCCCAAACUCUGAAGUAUAGUGUCGUCUGAGUACUAUUUAAUAGUUAAAACUUUCAACAACGGAUCUCUUGGUUCUGGCAUCGAUGAAGAACGCAGCGAAAUGCGAUAAGUAAUGUGAAUUGCAGAAUUCAGUGAAUCAUCGAAUCUUUGAACGCACAUUGCGCCCCUUGGUAUUCCGAGGGGCAUGCCUGUUCGAGCGUCAUAUUGACCAAUCCCGCUUGCGGGGUCUUGGGCUUCGCCUCUGGGCGGGCCUUAAAAUCAGUGGCGGUGCCGUCCGGCUCUAAGCGUAGUAAAUCUCCUCGCUAUAGGGUCCGGAAGGAUGCUUGCCAACAACCCCCAACUUCUUAAGGUUGACCUCGGAUCAGGUAGGGAUACCCGCUGAACUUAAGCAUAUCAUA
rnacentral:rRNA from 1 species